CUUUCUUGACCACCUUCUUUUGCCUGCCUUGGUUCUCCCAGGUAUCUGUUUCUGAGGAAACCAGAGGAACUAACUACAUUAGUCCACUUGCUUCAGGGAGCUCCAGCGUCCCUCCAUAGCCACUGUCUGGAGACCAUUCUUCUUCCACUCCAUGGCCCUGCCUGGGGACAAUUCUUGGUGAAUCCUGACACAACUGAGGCUCACAAAAUCCAAAACUUUUCUUUACAGUACACAUAUUUUUGAAAUGAAGGCAAUCCAAGUGAACUAUGAGUGGACUCAGAGUGACAUUGGAUGUUGUGCGUCCAUCUGGUUUUGUGGCUUUGGGGAACAUCUGUAAGAAUAUACCUCUCAAUAUUUCGGGGAUCCCUAGAGACUUCACAGGAUCUGAAUGAAGGUCCUUUAAGAGGAGCGAAGCUACGCCCUGCCAUCAGAGUCUCAGGGCAUAAUUUCCCAGCGCCCCUCACAAUACCAUUUAGCCUUUGCCCAGCGCGCAGUGGAGUUAGAAGUCGUCUCGGCCAAGUGCACAUGGGAACUACAUUGCCCAGAAACCUCUGUGCCGCGUGGUGGCGGCAAUGAUGCGGGCGUUUCCCUGCGAGCGAAAGCUCUCUGGGCGGGACUUCCGGCAUCUUCCUCGCCUCGGUAAUUUUGCGGGCUCUGAGAUAGAAGCAUUCGACUAGAAGGCUUGGGUUGUUGCGGGGUUUCGAGGUGACGGAAACGGAAGCGGGAGGGUGGGGAGGAGGCGCUGUUCGCCCUGCAGAGUGGCUCGCCAGCGAAGACCCCGCCUCCGCCCCCCGGGGCCGGGUUAUAGCGGCCUACGAACCUAAUGGCGGCAGCCGCGGUGAUGGGCCUGGUGCAGGAUAUCUUGGCCUAACAGGGGAACUGGACAAGUGGGGAUGAUCAGGAAAGAAUGUGGAAAUGAUUGCUGGCCUAAUUGACACCAGACUUCGGGAGUUUUGGAAGCCUUGCCGUCAACUCCCACAACAGUUACGGAGGCCAAGGAGACGACCUUGAAAAGAAGGCAGCAUGGAGUGGGUGGCCCCUGUAUUGAUUAAGAAGGGGAUGGACUUAACCUCCACUGUAAGAGUUAACCAAAGCUCGGCAUCCAUGACGGUCCAGGGGUCCUCCAAGAUGUUCAGGCAGCAUCAGUCUUUAGCUGCCAAGCCGAGGAGCAGCAAUGUGAGUCAGUCCGACUUCCAGUGGGGGCGCUCCACAGACAGGGCAGGGCUUAGGAGGAAUCCCUGGCUUCGGACAUUCCUUGGCCCAGUCGCCAGGUUUCCGACACUUGAAGCAUGAUCUGGGAGGGGCAGUGGAUGCUGCAUCCCCGGCACUUUGAAGUCUUUGUGAGCUGGUAAUGUGGCUGAGGUUUGUCUUAUGGCAGAGGCAAGCAUCAGUGGGCAGCAGCUUCUUCCCUAUUAUUGAACACCUUGAAGACUGGGUUGGUUAAUUCCUGUUGUGGCAUUUGAGGGCCAGAUUUAAAUUUCUGUAGCUUUUUUGUAAUGUCGGGGGCUGACUGAGUGAUAAACAUUUUUUGGGAGAGUAGAAGUAAGGAUGAUAUUUAAGCCACUCCACGUGAGAUUAUAGGACUAGGUUAAGUAUUGGAGAAUCUGAUGAAAAUGAUUCUAACCAUUGGCCGAUUUGGGAAAGAUUGGAUAAAGAAAGAAAUGUGCACCCUAACUUUGCCUUUGGCUCCAGUCAUCUUUGGAAGGGGGAAUUGUUGGGCAAAGGCAGAGGAGUUAGCCUUGGGACUAAACUGUAAGCUGGACCAGAUAUGAGGUGGGGAGGUGACGGGAGGUAUAAGGAGGUGGGUUGUGGGCAGAGGAAGAGGAGGGAGGCUUUGGGGGGGGGGGGGUUAGGGCCUGGUUUGGACAGGUGAGGAGGAGAAAGAUUGGAAGGGUUGAUGGACAAGGAAGAUUCUGAGUUACUGGCGGAGGCAAGAGUGGUGGACAGAGGAGAGAGAAGAAAAUUUGGGAUUGGUUGCAUUGAAAGCAGAAAUUAGGGAGGGAUUGGGGUGUAAAAAAAUGCUUGGACGUCAGGCACCUUAAGCAUUUCCCCAUUCAUUUGUGAAAAUUGCCUAGGUCUCACAGAAUAGAAAAAUUGAAAGUGUUGUUUUCUGACCAUUUGGAACCGUUGUCUAAUAUGUACUGGGAUCAGGCUGUAUUGCAGAAAAAAAGACGUUUAAGUUUCAGAUUGGGCUGUAGUUGAAGAGGUUUUAGGUUUUUAGGAUGCAGACUAGAGGCGAAGACUGAGGAAAAGAGGGCAGAACACUGCUUAUAGCAAAGGCGAUAAGUUUUAAAGAAAGAACUAGAGAAGAGACAAGGAGAUGGAGUGAGCAGCUACCAGGAUUUUCAGUAGGCAUUCCUGACAGAGUCCUGGGCUGUAACAUGGGUUAGUGAUCAAAGCAGGCAUCCCUUCGAGUGACCAGACACCAAGGGAAGACCGUCUGACCUAGUGGAGUUCAUAACUAACGUUGCGGAUAAAGAGUGUCUCCUUUGCCUCUAAGAAGCAGAAGGAGUUAGGCCAGGCGUGGUGGCUCACGUCUGUAAUCCAAGCACUUCGGAGGCCAAGGCAGGUGGAUCACCUGA